CCUACGGGAGGCAGCAGUGGGGAAUAUUGGACAAUGGGGGGAACCCUGAUCCAGCGACGCCGCGUGAGUGAAGAAGUAUUUCGGUAUGUAAAGCUCUAUCAGCAGGGAAGAAAGAAAUGACGGUACCUGACUAAGAAGCCCCGGCUAACUACGUGCCAGCAGCCGCGGUAAUACGUAGGGGGCAAGCGUUAUCCGGAUUUACGGGGUGUAAAGGGAGCGUAGACGGCGAUGCAAGUCUGAAGUGAAAGGCGGGGGCCCAACCCCCGGACUGCUUUGGAAACUGUAGGGCUGGAGUGCAGGGGAGGUAAGUGGAAUUCCUAGUGUAGCGGUGAAAUGCGUAGAUAUUAGGAGGAACACCAGUGGCGAAGGCGGCUUACUGGACUGUAACUGACGUUGAGGCUCGAAAGCGUGGGGAGCAAACAGGAUUAGAUACCCCAGUAGUC
rnacentral:rRNA from 1 species